UGGGUAACCUGCCUCAAAGAGGGGAAUAGCCUCCCGAAAGGGAGAUUAAUACCGCAUAAUAUGUUUAAGUCGCAUGACUUUAACAUCAAAGGAUUUUUCUUUUAAGAAAUUCCACUUUGAGAUGGACCCGCGGCGCAUUAGCUAGUUGGUGAGGUAACGGCUCACCAAGGCAACGAUGCGUAGCCGACCUGAGAGGGUGAUCGGCCACAUUGGAACUGAGACACGGUCCAGACCUCCGUAGGGACG
rnacentral:rRNA from 1 species